UUUUAAAUUGGGGUAGCCCCCAAAAUAUUGGGACAUAUAAAAAAAAGACAACUCUGUUCCGCAGAGUAGCUGUUGACAUUAUAGUUGUGCAGGCACUUUGUUGACUGUAGAGAACCUCGGGACAAUAGCACAUCCCUGUGACAGCGACUUUGCAUUCGGAUGUCAUCCAUAUCAACUCUCGAUGCCAGUUUCUGCGCCUACCAUGGUGACCAUGGGUAACGGGGAAUAAGGGUUCCAUUCCGUAUAGGGACCCUGAGAAACGGCUACCACAUGCAAGGAAGGCAGCAGACGUGCAAAUAACCCACUCCCAACGUGGGAAUGUCUUGAUGA